AUGUUUAUGUCUAUGUUCAGCCACUUCGAUAUCUCGCAAGGCAAGAAAUGGAGCUUCUCCUUUGGUUCGGGCCCGGUAAAGGAUUCAAAUCCAAAGUCCAAUGAAGAAGCAACUUCUUCAUCCAAAACCACCGUCAAAGAUCCGAAAACAUUAAUGCCCGGCGGAGAGAAUAAAAACCCGACCCGUUUGAGAACAAGAUAUGCACCGGAGUUUGAUGGACUAAACUGCUUUGAAUGCAUUGUACCUUCUGUCUGA
rnacentral:lncRNA from 1 species